rnacentral:rRNA from 1 species
ACUAAGCGUACACGGUGGAUGCCCUGGCAGUCAGAGGCGAUGAAGGACGUGCUAAUCUGCGAUAAGCGUCGGUAAGGUGAUAUGAACCGUUAUAACCGGCGAUUUCCGAAUGGGGAAACCCAGUGUGAUUCGUCACACUAUCAUUAACUGAAUCCAUAGGUUAAUGAGGCGAACCGGGGGAACUGAAACAUCUAAGUACCCCGAGGAAAAGAAAUCAACCGAGAUUCCCCCAGUAGCGGCGAGCGAACGGGGAGCAGCCCAGAGCCUGAAUCAGUGUGUGUGUUAGUGGAAGCGUCUGGAAAGGCGCGCGAUACAGGGUGACAGCCCCGUACACAAAAAUGCACAUGCUGUGAGCUCGAUGAGUAGGGCGGGACACGUGGUAUCCUGUCUGAAUAUGGGGGGACCAUCCUCCAAGGCUAAAUACUCCUGACUGACCGAUAGUGAAGCAGUACCGUGAGGGAAAGGCGAAAAGAACCCCGGCGAGGGGAGUGAAAAAGAACCUGAAACCGUGUACGUACAAGCAGUGGGAGCACGCUUAGGCGUGUGACUGCGUACCUUUUGUAUAAUGGGUCAGCGACUUAUAUUCUGUAGCAAGGUUAACCGAAUAGGGGAGCCGAAGGGAAACCGAGUCUUAACUGGGCGUUAAGUUGCAGGGUAUAGACCCGAAACCCGGUGAUCUAGCCAUGGGCAGGUUGAAGGUUGGGUAACACUAACUGGAGGACCGAACCGACUAAUGUUGAAAAAUUAGCGGAUGACUUGUGGCUGGGGGUGAAAGGCCAAUCAAACCGGGAGAUAGCUGGUUCUCCCCGAAAGCUAUUUAGGUAGCGCCUCGUGAAUUCAUCUCCGGGGGUAGAGCACUGUUUCGGCAAGGGGGUCAUCCCGACUUACCAACCCGAUGCAAACUGCGAAUACCGGAGAAUGUUAUCACGGGAGACACACGGCGGGUGCUAACGUCCGUCGUGAAGAGGGAAACAACCCAGACCGCCAGCUAAGGUCCCAAAGUCAUGGUUAAGUGGGAAACGAUGUGGGAAGGCCCAGACAGCCAGGAUGUUGGCUUAGAAGCAGCCAUCAUUUAAAGAAAGCGUAAUAGCUCACUGGUCGAGUCGGCCUGCGCGGAAGAUGUAACGGGGCUAAACCAUGCACCGAAGCUGCGGCAGCGACGCUGAUGCGUUGUUGGGUAGGGGAGCGUUCUGUAAGCCUGUGAAGGUGUGCUGUGAGGCAUGCUGGAGGUAUCAGAAGUGCGAAUGCUGACAUAAGUAACGAUAAAGCGGGUGAAAAGCCCGCUCGCCGGAAGACCAAGGGUUCCUGUCCAACGUUAAUCGGGGCAGGGUGAGUCGACCCCUAAGGCGAGGCCGAAAGGCGUAGUCGAUGGGAAACAGGUUAAUAUUCCUGUACUUGGUGUUACUGCGAAGGGGGGACGGAGAAGGCUAUGUUGGCCGGGCGACGGUUGUCCCGGUUUAAGCGUGUAGGCUGGUUUUCCAGGCAAAUCCGGAAAACUAAGGCUGAGGCGUGAUGACGAGGCACUACGGUGCUGAAGCAACAAAUGCCCUGCUUCCAGGAAAAGCCUCUAAGCAUCAGGUAACAUCAAAUCGUACCCCAAACCGACACAGGUGGUCAGGUAGAGAAUACCAAGGCGCUUGAGAGAACUCGGGUGAAGGAACUAGGCAAAAUGGUGCCGUAACUUCGGGAGAAGGCACGCUGAUAUGUAGGUGAAGUCCCUCGCGGAUGGAGCUGAAAUCAGUCGAAGAUACCAGCUGGCUGCAACUGUUUAUUAAAAACACAGCACUGUGCAAACACGAAAGUGGACGUAUACGGUGUGACGCCUGCCCGGUGCCGGAAGGUUAAUUGAUGGGGUUAGCGCAAGCGAAGCUCUUGAUCGAAGCCCCGGUAAACGGCGGCCGUAACUAUAACGGUCCUAAGGUAGCGAAAUUCCUUGUCGGGUAAGUUCCGACCUGCACGAAUGGCGUAAUGAUGGCCAGGCUGUCUCCACCCGAGACUCAGUGAAAUUGAACUCGCUGUGAAGAUGCAGUGUACCCGCGGCAAGACGGAAAGACCCCGUGAACCUUUACUAUAGCUUGACACUGAACAUUGAGCCUUGAUGUGUAGGAUAGGUGGGAGGCUUUGAAGUGUGGACGCCAGUCUGCAUGGAGCCGACCUUGAAAUACCACCCUUUAAUGUUUGAUGUUCUAACGUUGACCCGUAAUCCGGGUUGCGGACAGUGUCUGGUGGGUAGUUUGACUGGGGCGGUCUCCUCCUAAAGAGUAACGGAGGAGCACGAAGGUUGGCUAAUCCUGGUCGGACAUCAGGAGGUUAGUGCAAUGGCAUAAGCCAGCUUGACUGCGAGCGUGACGGCGCGAGCAGGUGCGAAAGCAGGUCAUAGUGAUCCGGUGGUUCUGAAUGGAAGGGCCAUCGCUCAACGGAUAAAAGGUACUCCGGGGAUAACAGGCUGAUACCGCCCAAGAGUUCAUAUCGACGGCGGUGUUUGGCACCUCGAUGUCGGCUCAUCACAUCCUGGGGCUGAAGUAGGUCCCAAGGGUAUGGCUGUUCGCCAUUUAAAGUGGUACGCGAGCUGGGUUUAGAACGUCGUGAGACAGUUCGGUCCCUAUCUGCCGUGGGCGCUGGAGAACUGAGGGGGGCUGCUCCUAGUACGAGAGGACCGGAGUGGACGCAUCACUGGUGUUCGGGUUGUCAUGCCAAUGGCACUGUCCGGUAGCUAAAUGCGGAAGAGAUAAGUGCUGAAAGCAUCUAAGCACGAAACUUGCCCCGAGAUGAGUUCUCCCUGACUCCUUGAGAGUCCUGAAGGAACGUUGAAGACGACGACGUUGAUAGGCCGGGUGUGUAAGCGCAGCGAUGCGUUGAGCUAACCGGUACUAAUGAACCGUGAGGCUUAACC